rnacentral:tRNA from 1 species
CGGGGUAUGGCUCAACUGGCUAGAGCGCCUGCUUUGGGAGCAGGAGGUUGUCGGUUCAAGUCCGACUACCCCGA